UUUGCGAUCGCAUACAAGAGUGAGCCAUCUUUUGACGAUGGUAGGAUAAUUAUUGACCUGAGGAAUAAUAUGGAUUUAUGUGGUUGUGAGAAUAGACGUUGUGUUUGUGAUUGUGAAAAUGUGAGUGUGUGUCUGUGUGUGCGCGCGCGCUUUCCUGAACCAGGGAUCCCACUUGACAAGUUGACCUUGUCUAGAGGAGCAUUAGUGGAAAAAAACUGUGUAGCCCUGAGACAAUAGGAUGCCGUUACGACCAAUGAGAACGGCCUGCAGGGGGCGCAAGGAUUCACUUCUCUCUUGGACACUGACGGGUCUCGAAACGCAAAUUCUGCUCCUGGCGUUGGCCGUCAGUGGAAGAGCGUAGCUUAGGUGGGGUUCUGUCUGCCUCUGAUGGGGUGCGGAUGUGUGGUUCGUCACUGGUGAAUGGUGUUCGACGAUGCAGGUGGAUUUUGUGACGAGCGGAUUUACAAUGAGGGAAUGCUGUGAACGGGAAAAAUGAUGAGCUGUCCUAACUUGCCCAGACAUGCCAUGAUGACGUCACAGCUGACGUCACAGGAUGUCCGGAACUUGUGGUCAUAGCUGGGAUGCUUUGCAACCUGCCUCUGUGCUCCGUCGCCCGGCGAUGGUCAGCGGCCUUUCCGGGCCGCUUCCUUCAAGAUGGCGUCGUUGAUCUUCAACUAAACUCCUUCUCUCCACUCUAUCUCUAUCUAUUUUUUUAUUUUUUAUGACCACGUUUAUCCGGAAACGCACAGGGUGGUCUGGACACUAGUUAGACGCUCCCCAAUUAGUGUGAUGACUCAUUGGAUGAUGCUGAUUAAUGUGGGGGGUCCCAAUUAGCUCUAAUUGCUAAUUAAUGGCGUCCAGAAGCCUUGUAGCGUUUCCGGAUAAGCGUGGUCAGUACU